rnacentral:tRNA from 1 species
UCUUCUGUAGCUCAGUGGUUAGAGCAUGUGGCUGUUAACUACAAAGUCAAGAGUUCAAAUCUCUUCAGAAGAG